GAUGAACGCUGGCGGCGUGCCUAAUACAUGCAAGUCGAGCGAACAGAUGAGAAGCUUGCUUCUCUGAUGUUAGCGGCGGACGGGUGAGUAACACGUGGGUAACCUACCUAUAAGACUGGGAUAACUCCGGGAAACCGGGGCUAAUACCGGAUAAUAUUUUGAACCGCAUGGUUCAAUAGUGAAAGACGGUUUCGGCUGUCACUUAUAGAUGGACCCGCGCCGUAUUAGCUAGUUGGUAAGGUAACGGCUUACCAAGGCGACGAUACGUAGCCGACCUGAGAGGGUGAUCGGCCACACUGGAACUGAGACACGGUCCAGACUCCUACGGGAGGCAGCAGUAGGGAAUCUUCCGCAAUGGGCGAAAGCCUGACGGAGCAACGCCGCGUGAGUGAUGAAGGUCUUAGGAUCGUAAAACUCUGUUGUUAGGGAAGAACAAAUUUGUUAGUAACUGAACAAGUCUUGACGGUACCUAACCAGAAAGCCACGGCUAACUACGUGCCAGCAGCCGCGGUAAU
rnacentral:rRNA from 1 species